rnacentral:rRNA from 1 species
GAAUCCCGUCUUUGACAUGGACUGCCAGGGCUUUGUGAUGUGCUCUCAAAGAGUCGAGUUGUUUGGGAAUGCAGCUCAAAAUGGGUGGUAAAUUCCAUCUAAAGCUAAAUAUUGGCGAGAGACCGAUAGCGAACAAGUACCGUGAGGGAAAGAUGAAAAGAACUUUGGAAAGAGAGUUAAACAGUACGUGAAAUUGCUGAAAGGGAAACGCUUGAAGUCAGUCGCGUUGGCCAGGGAUCAACCUUGCUUUUUUGCUUGGCUUACUUUCUGGUCGAUGGGUCAGCAUCAAUUUUGACCGGUGGAAAAAGUUCAAGGGAAUGUGGCAUCUUCGGAUGUGUUAUAGCCUUUGUUCGCAUACAUUGGUUGGGAUUGAGGAACUCAGCACGCCGCAAGGCCGGGUUUUUAACCACGUACGUGCUUAGGAUGCUGGCAUAAUGGCUUUAAUCGACCCGUCUUGAAACACGGACCAAGGAGUCUAACAUGCCUGCGAGUGUUUGGGUGAAAAACCCGAGCGCGUAAUGAAAGUGAAAGUUGAGAUCCCUGUCGUAGGGAGCAUUGACGCCCGGAUCUGACCUUUUGUGACGAUUCUGCGGUAGAGCAUGUAUGUUGGGACCCGAAAGAUGGUGAACUAUGCCUGAAUAGGGUGAAGCCAGAGGAAACUCUGGUGGAGGCUCGUAGCGAUUCUGACGUGCAAAUCGAUCGUCAAAUUUGGGUAUAGGGGCGAAAGACUAAUCGAACCAUCUAGUAGCUGGUUCCUGCC